CCUACGGGCUGCACCAGUAGGGAAUCUUCGGCAAUGGACGAAAGUCUGACCGAGCAACGCCGCGUGAGUGAAGAAGGUUUUCGGAUCGUAAAACUCUGUUGGUAGAGAAGAACAUUGGUGAGAGUGGAAAGCUCAUCAAGUGACGGUAACUACCCAGAAAGGGACGGCUAACUACGUGCCAGCAGCCGCGGUAAUACGUAGGUCCCGAGCGUUGUCCGGAUUUAUUGGGCGUAAAGCGAGCGCAGGUGGUUUAUUAAGUCUGGUGUAAAAGGCAGUGGCUCAACCAUUGUAUGCAUUGGAAACUGGUAGACUUGAGUGCAGGAGAGGAGAGUGGAAUUCCAUGUGUAGCGGUGAAAUGCGUAGAUAUAUGGAGGAACACCGGUGGCGAAAGCGGCUCUCUGGCCUGUAACUGACACUGAGGCUCGAAAGCGUGGGGAGCAAACAGGAUUAGA
rnacentral:rRNA from 1 species